AGGACGAACGCUGGCGGCGUGCUUAACACAUGCAAGUCGAGCGGUAAGGCCUUUCGGGGUACACGAGCGGCGAACGGGUGAGUAACACGUGGGUGAUCUGCCCUGCACUUCGGGAUAAGCCUGGGAAACUGGGUCUGAUACCGGAUAUGACCUCCUAUCGCAUGGUGGGUGGUGGAAAGAUUUAUCGGUGCAGGAUGGGCCCGCGGCCUAUCAGCUUGUUGGUGGGGUAAUGGCCUACCAAGGCGACGACGGGUAGCCGACCUGAGAGGGUGACCGGCCACACUGGGACUGAGACACGGCCCAGACUCCUACGGGAGGCAGCAGUGGGGAAUAUUGCACAAUGGGCGAAAGCCUGAUGCAGCGACGCCGCGUGAGGAUGGACGGCCUUCGGGUUGUAAACCUCUUUCAGCAGGACGAAGCGCAAGUGACGGUACCUGCAGAAGAAGCACCGGCUAACUACGUGCCAGCAGCCGAC
rnacentral:rRNA from 1 species